AGUCGAGGGGCAGCAUCAUCAAAGCUUGCUUUGAUGGAUGGCGACCGGCGCACGGGUGAGUAACACGUAUCCAACCUGCCGACAACACUGGGAUAGCCUUUCGAAAGAAAGAUUAAUACCGGAUGGCAUAGUUUUCCCGCAUGGGAUAAUUAUUAAAGAAUUUCGGUUGUCGAUGGGGAUGCGUUCCAUUAGGCAGUUGGCGGGGUAACGGCCCACCAAACCAACGAUGGAUAGGGGUUCUGAGAGGAAGGUCCCCCACAUUGGAACUGAGACACGGUCCAAACUCCUACGGGAGGCAGCAGUGAGGAAUAUUGGUCAAUGGACGAGAGUCUGAACCAGCCAAGUAGCGUGAAGGAUGACUGCCCUAUGGGUUGUAAACUUCUUUUAUACGGGAAUAAAGUUAGCCACGUGUGGCUUUUUGUAUGUACCGUAUGAAUAAGGAUCGGCUAACUCCGUGCCAGCAGCCGCGGUAAUACGGAGGAUCCGAGCGUUAUCCGGAUUUAUUGGGUUUAAAGGGAGCGUAGGCGGGUUGUUAAGUCAGUUGUGAAAGUUUGCGGCUCAACCGUAAAAUUGCAGUUGAUACUGGCGACCUUGAGUGCAACAGAGGUAGGCGGAAUUCGUGGUGUAGCGGUGAAAUGCUUAGAUAUCACGAAGAACUCCGAUUGCGAAGGCAGCUUACUGGAUUGUAACUGACGCUGAUGCUCGAAAGUGUGGGUAUCAAACAGGAUUAGAUACCCUGGUAGUCCACACAGUAAACGAUGAAUACU
rnacentral:rRNA from 1 species